UACGAAGGGUGCAAGCGUUAAUCGGAAUUACUGGGCGUAAAGCGUGCAUAGGCGGUUUCUUAAGUCUGCUGUGAAAUCCCCGGGCUCAACCUGGGAAUGGCAGUGGAUACUGGGAGGCUAGAGUGUGUCAGAGGAUGGUGGAAUUCCCGGUGUAGCGGUGAAAUGCGUAGAGAUCGGGAGGAACAUCAGUGGCGAAGGCGGCCAUCUGGGACAACACUGACGCUGAGGCACGAAAGCGUGGGGAGCAAACAGG
rnacentral:rRNA from 1 species